ACCGGAGUGGACGAACCUCUGGUGUUCGGGUUGUCAUGCCAAUGGCAUUGCCCGGUAGCUAAGUUCGGAAUCGAUAACCGCUGAAAGCAUCUAAGCGGGAAGCGAGCCUUGAGAUGAGUUUUCCCUGGCACUAUAAGUGUCCUAAAGGGUUGUCGUAGACUACGACGUUGAUAGGCAGGGUGUGUAAGUGCUGCGAGGCAUUGAGCUAACCUGUACUAAUUGCCCGUGAGGCUUAACCAUACAACACCCAAGGGGUUU
rnacentral:rRNA from 1 species